AAUCAACGCUGGCGGCGUGCCUAACACAUGCAAGUCGAGCGGGAAAAGGGGCUUCGGUCCCUGAGUAUAGCGGCGGACGGGUGAGUAACACGUGGGUAAUUUGCCCUUGGGUGUGGAAUAACUCAGGGAAACUUGAGCUAAUACCGCAUGACAUCCUCGUCGCACACGAGUCGAGGAUCAAAGCCGGGGACCCUUCGGGGCCUGGCGCCUGAGGAGAAGCCCGCGCCCGAUUAGCUAGUUGGUGAGGUAAUGGCUCACCAAGGCUUCGAUCGGUAGCCGGCCUGAGAGGGCGGACGGCCACAUUGGGACUGAGACACGGCCCAGACUCCUACGGGAGGCAGCAGUGGGGAAUUUUUGUCAAUGGGGAAACCUGAACAAGCAACGCCGCGUGGAGGACGACGACCU
rnacentral:rRNA from 1 species